ACCCAAAUCACUGUACUAGUUACAGGGUAUCGAAUUUGGUCAUCAUAGAUCUAUGGAGAAAUUACUUUGUGCUUUUGUUUUGAAUGUUAUGCUCAUGUUCAGUGCCGUAAUUAGCUAUUUAUUUUCUCAGUAGGAAGGACAUGCGUUAUUAGCAACCAUAUAUUUCCAAAAUAAAUACAACCAGAACCUUGCAGAACCCUUAGAACUAAAAGAAAUUAUGUAUGGCAGUUAUAUAGUUUGUGUAAAAGUAAAAGGGGUACAGUGCAUAAAAACAAUACAUAUACAGUGCACCGAUGUAAUUUCUUGGAAUUUCGAAAACAUACCAGAAAAGCUAGAUUACAAAAUCUUGAAUACUCCAGUAUAUGCCAGGGAAACAUUACAUCAAGGUAGAAGUCAGUGUAAAUUAUAAUGCCUUAAAAUUUCAUUUUUGGUAAAUGGAUAGCCUGAUUGUAUGGCUAUUACCUUAAUUGUUUCUUCAGCAUUUAUUAUUUUUGAAAAGUUAUUUAACCCGGUCCCAAGUCCGUACAUAGAGACUCUCAUAGCUUGAAGGAUUCAUUCGUAAAUUAGAAGUGAAAAUGGGCGCAAGGUUAAAAUUAAAGAAGUUGGACAACUACGUUGAAGGAGACCAAAAGGAAUGCAUAAUAAAAGGCAAUGUAUCCAGAGGCUGAAGCAUGCUAAAAGCCUUUCGUACCAUUAGCAUAACUUGUAAUGAUGGGAAAGUACAGUGCUAUAGUCAAAAUGUAUUAUAUUUGCUAUUGCUGACAAUGUCCCAUACCAUCUUUCAGUUUGUCCCAUACCAUCUUUCAGAGUUUGUCCCAUACCAUCUUUCAGAGUUUGUCCCAUACCAUCUUUCAGAGUUUGUCCCAUACCAUCUUUCAAAGUUUGUCCCAUACCAUCUUUCAAAGUUUGUCCCAUACCAUCAUUCAGAGUUUUGAUUGGUUUUUUGUUUAUCUUUACUUGAAUCGAUUUGGUUUGAUAUAAAAUGUCAGAAAGAAUAGGGUUAGUUACACAUUGUGCAUUUGUAUAUGUAUAUUAUUGAGUGAAUUAUUUAAUUGAUAUGAAGGUGUCCCUCCCACCAUUGCCCAUUGAUUGACUUUCAUUAUGCUAGCACAAUUUGCUUUGCACACCUGUGCCACACAAUUAGGAAAUAUAAUUAGCUUCAUGGCUGAAUUGUAGCUGUGAAACAAAGAGAAACACUCAAUAUUGUCAGUAUUAAGGCUGGACGGAGGGAUUAGAAAUUAUGGGCUAGUUUUGUUAAUUGGCUCUGAUAUACUGGUCAAUACAUUACUGUCGUCGUGAUGAACAAAAAUAUUUUAUUCUCUUAAAUGAAGGCUUCAUGAUCAACAAAAAUAUUUUAUUCUCAUAAGUGAAGGCCAGUGGGAUUCUCCUUUCUGCCUUAGGCCUGAAUAAAAAAAGGAGGGAAAAGUAAUUGCACUGGUGGAAAGUCGUGAACUUCCUUGAUGAAAAAUAGGUUUCAGUUUGCAAAUAGUUUACAGUACUUUCAUUUACACUAACUCUACCUGGUUAAUUCUCAGGCACAUAAUGUAAUUUUUGUUAUCCUCAUACCGGCAUUAAAGAUUUCAUUUGGUGAGUGAAGAGCAUUCAUAUGACCAAUGAAAGCUGCCUUAAAUAUCAGAAAAUGGUCUCCUUAGGAAAUGAACACAUAUGAAUUUAACACUUGAACAUACAUACUCUUGACUCUUAAGCUUUACCUUGCUUCAUUUCGUGAUCCUGUAAAAGUGCCAUGUAUGAACAUUGUUUUUAGAAUUCGUGAUUGAAUGUUUUAAAUGUUGUCCAGAUUUAUUUUUAUUUAAUUUUAUUGAUAACAACAUUGUGCUGGUUUUGUUUGACAUUUCUUGUCAGUACUUGUUAAAGGAUUUCUUUUCAUCUUGCGUACAACCAUUACAAAACUGAAUGGUAAUUUUUAUCUAAUCUACUUGCAUACCUCUUGCCUUCAACUGUGAAGCCUUAAAAAUGUUGGUAAUUUGGCAGUUAUGUGCACUUGGUUAAGUGCCAAAAGUUGUAUAUUUAUUAUCGAUAUAUAUUGGGUCCUAAUGUGUAGUGUAGUUAGUGUAGUAUUAAGUAUCUAUUAACCAAAAUGCUGUACUAUGUCUAUAUGUGAGAGUAACCUGUUGCUUUCAAAAAUCUCUUCUAUACUAUGUACAGUACCAGUUUUUGGUGGUGUAACUGUAGUCUAUCAGUCUUCUAUUAAUGAUUUAUAUACUUUUAAGGGCAGAAAGAUCAGUUUUUAUCAUGAAUCAUUAAUUCUGUAGUCAAAUACAUCAUCCCUAGCUUGAU